rnacentral:rRNA from 1 species
UGGGGAAUCUUGCACAAUGGGGGAAACCCUGAUGCAGCGACGCCGCGUGAACGAUGAAGCCCUUCGGGGUGUAAAGUUCUUUCGACAGGAACGAUAAUGACGGUACCUGGAGAAGAAGCUGCGGCUAACUACGUGCCAGCAGCCGCGGUAAUACGUAGGCAGCGAGCGUUGUUCGGAGUUACUGGGCGUAAAGAGUGCGUAGGCGGCGAGCCAAGUUUGGUGUGAAAUCUCCCGGCUUAACCGGGAGGGUGCGCCGAAAACUGGUUGGCUGGAGUAUGGGAGAGGAAAGCGGAAUUCCUGGUGUAGCGGUGAAAUGCGUAGAUAUCGGGAGGAACAUCCGUGGCGAAGGCGGCUACCUGGACCAGCACUGACACUGAGGCACGAAAGCGUGGGGAGCAAACA